CGCAGAUACUUCUAAUCAUUUAACCCUAAACCUCCAAACCACCCAAACAUCUGAGAUUUCACGCACAAAACCAAUGGUUUCUUCCAUCACAGCCCACAUUCCAGAUUCAAAAAG